AGGCAAUAACUGUGAUCUCGUUUUUUUGGGGUCUAAUCUUGGUUUCUUGCUCACGUAUCAUGUCGCUACCAGCGAAAAGAAUAUAUGUGAGUUAUUAUUAAUACCGUUAAUCUGCUCUCUCUCUCUCUCUCUUACUUUUCUCUUUCUGGCGAACUUGUAAACCCAACCAGUAAUUUCCGGCGGAACUCUGGCGCAGGCAGGUUUUCGGUGAGCAGUUAGACGCUGCAGUUGGAGGUCAGAUUUCCGGCGGAUAUCUUGGCUCAAGGCGACAUUCUACCAGGGUCUAGUCGAUUUGGCAGUCCGUCUACAAUCCAGGGUGGUUCCCAGACUUCCUCCAGUAUUCUCUUCAUCAGCAAGGAAUCUGUUUCAAUUUGACAUGGAGGGAACUGCUAUUGAGUUAUGUAUCUGAGAGCUUCAAGGAUAACUUGUGCUUCAGCUAUGGAGUUUAUUGCAUCAACAAUUGAGUCUGCCUGAGCAUAUAUAAGGUUACCUAUUACAUCUCUUAUGCAGAAUGCAUACGAAGCUCCUCUAUUGUCUCCUUUGCAAGCACCAUCAAUAUUGCAUUUGAUCCAGCCCACAUGAGGUGCACCAAAGUAGUCCCAAACAUAUCUGGCAACUGGAGACUUCAAAAAGACAUGAGGCAGUGUUUUCUUCUUAGGAUUUCUACAGUACCAACACCUUGAAGUUCUAAAGUAUCCCAUCCUUAAGAACCAGUCAUCUAGUGGCAACUUUGUUUUCCUUAACCUCCACAUAAAGAAACUAACUUUGAAUGAUCCAAGUGCAUCUAGACGUGGUGAUUACUAGAGCCGUAUUGGAUACUAGUAUUUGGAGAUUUCGAGGUAGCUGCUAUGACAUUCGCGAGGAGUCAUAUUUCAAUUGUGAUAACUCAUAUUCAAAUUAGGCGACUAUUCAAAGCCUUUGGCGUUUGUAAAGUUUUUUCAGAAGUAUAUCUAACGUUUUUUUGU